rnacentral:piRNA from 1 species
UGAGGGUCAAGAGUAUUAAGAUACUUUGU